AUUGAACGCUGGCGGCAGGCCUAACACAUGCAAGUCGAGCGGAGCGGCGGACGGGUGAGUAAUGCCUAGGAAUCUGCCUGGUAGUGGGGGAUAACGUCCGGAAACGGGCGCGAAUACCGCAUCCUAUUUGAUGAGCCUAGGUUGGAUUAGCUAGUUGGAGGGGUAAAGGCCUACCAAGGCGACGAUCCGUAACUGGCAUGAGAGGAUGAUCAGUAAAACGGGAACUGAGACACGGUCCAGACUCCUACGGGAGGCAGCAGUGGGGAAUAUUCGACAAUGGGCGAAAGCCUGAUCGAGCCAUGCCGCGUGAGUGAAGAAGGUCUUCGGAUUGUAAAGCUCUUUUAGUUGGGAGGCGGUACCAACAGAAUAAGCACCGGCUAACUUCGUGCCAGCAGCCGCGGUAAUAC
rnacentral:rRNA from 1 species